GAUGAACGCUGGCGGUAUGCUUAACACAUGCAAGUCGAACGGUACCUUCGGGUAUAGUGGCGGACGGGUGAGUAACGCGUGAGAAUCUAUCUUCAGGUCGGGGACAACAGUUAGAAAUGACUGCUAAUACCGGAUGUGCCGAAAGGUAAAAGAUUUAUUGCCUGAAAAAGAGCUCGCGUCAGAUUAGCUAGUAGGUGGUGUAAGAGACUACCUAGGCUUCGAUCUGUAGCUGGUCUGAGAGGACGAUCAGCCACACUGGAACUGAGACACGGUCCGGACUCCUACGGGAGGCAGCAGUGGGGAAUUUUCCGCAAUGGGCGAAAGCCUGACGGAGCAAUACCGCGUGAGGGACGAAGGCUCUUGGGUCGUAAACCUCUUUUCUCAAGGAAGAUUCAGACGGUACUUGAGGAAUAAGCAUCGGCUAACUCUGUG
rnacentral:rRNA from 1 species